CGUUUCCCACCGCUCCAAAGUCACCAGAGACCCCAAUUCACUAAUAGAAUAUGCUAAACUAGGCUCUCGGUCCACAGUACAAUUCCUCAUCCAUAAAGUCACAGAGGAUUUAAUCCUUUCCUUCAAGUUAUUGAAUUCAAUUUUCUGUGAGAUACAUUUUAGAUUAAAGUGCAUAGAGAUUGAACAACAGAAAGCUACAAAUAAUAAUAAUAAUAAAUUUCAGCAACAAUUCUUAGCCAAAAGCAAGCAACUCUAAUUUCAAAUUUCUCUACUGGCAAAAAACAAGCAUGAACAGGCUCUCGAAUGGAGGAAGCCCAGGCACGGAACUCAAAUCCACGUCACCAUAGAUUUUGUCAAGGCAAUCAAUACGGACCAGAGACUUUGCUUGUGACAUCUCAAGCUAGAUCUUGAUGCAAAUCUAUCUCUGCUUUUGUAUCCUCUUGUCCCUUAUGGGCAGCUCAAUGGGCUUCUGAGCCUCAUGUGGGUGGUCCGGGCCCUUGUAUACCUUAAGGUGGUUGAAUAAUGCUCUACCAAGCUGCAGUAAACAAUUAUCAUCAAACGUACUUCAACUGUGUAGCAACCAAACCCAUUCAUGCAGGCAUAACAGAGUAGAAGAAUCUAUUAAACUUGAGAAUAACAAAUAUAUGGUCACAGAGAGAACAGAGAUUGUAAUAGAUCAAAGGAAAGAUACAUGCAUACUAAUUCACAAGCGCAACUAAACAGACCUAGACAUGAAAAGAUCACAUAUAUGCAUAUAGAUUGUUUGCAAGCAAAGCAAGUGGGACAAUUUUUUCUCAGCAUGAAUAAUUUUGUUUCCAAAUUAUGCCCCUAACUCUGCUGUAACCACGCAACCUGUAUAAGAGGAUAAAAAAGGAAUGUGUCAGUACACAAGACUUCUUGCAUUACAGGCUAUGAGGAUGGUCAAAAGUACACAACCUUCCCCUUACAGUGUGCAGAGUUUCCACAGUUUGAACUUGUAACCUUCAAAUCACAAUAGAUUAAUCUUAUGGUUGCAUUAUAGAUCAUCCUCAGGAAGUGGGAGAGGGUAAGAACUUAAAAAUGGCAAAGCAGUAGGACAUCAUAAAAUCUGCAGAAGUCAAGUAUCCAAAAACCAUCUAACUUCAUGGUAAACCAUCUAGCUUCAUGGUGGAUCCAUCCUCAACCUUCUGGCACUGGUUGGUUGGCUAAGCAGAUCAUAUCAUAGGCAUUCCACUAUUCCUAAUGGCACAAAUUGUACCAUUCACUAACUGAAUUAUGCUUAUCAGCUCCAAUACAUUCCCUAAGUUAACCCAUUGUAUUUGGAGACUCACACUUCAACACUCAGUGUUUCCACUUUUAAGUUCUUUAACAUGUCACACCAACUGGAAUAAUCAUGCACCAAGCCUAAUCAAGAACACAAGGACUGGUACAAAGCAGAAAGCUUUGGUCUGGAAUGCCUGAAUAAGCAGACUCACAGAAAAGCUAAAAGCAAGAAAAAUUCCAUAAAAUUCCAAAAGCGAAUGAAUUCCAUAACAUCAAUGAUAAAAUCUAAUUUUGUCAGUCCUUCAUUUUUUUUUUUUUAUUCUCAUUCAAUGGAAACUCACUUAAAAAAGAAUGGGGGCACAGCACAACAUACACAAGAUGCAUCCAAGAAAAGACCCCAUAACAAUAAAAUCAACAAAGUAAGCCUAUAGAAUGAAAUAGCACCUAAAAUGACAAGCAGGAGGGGCCAGGGAGGGAACUCUUUUGGUGAAAAAAAUCUAGACCACAUUGCAAUGGCCCAUCAUAUACACACAAAAAGGAAAAAGGAAAACCUUUAGUACAUUAUAUGAACAAUCACUGAGUUAGAACUUUAGAACUCACCCUCCCUUUAGGAAGCAUACCACGAACAGCAUGUUCGAUAAUUCUUUCUGGAAUCCUCUGUUGUAGCUGAUCAAAUGUCUCCACUUUCAUACCACCAGGUCUUCCUGAAUGCCUUCUGUAUAGCUUUUGGGUCCUUUUCUUCCCAGACACAGCAACCUUUUCAGCAUUCACCACAAUCACAAAUGCCCCCAUGUCCACGCUAGGAGUAUAGGUUGCCAAAUUCUUUCCACGAAUAUAAAUAGCAAUUGUGGAUGCCAGUCUCCCAAGAAUUUUAUCAGUUGCAUCAACAACAUACCAGGGUUUAUCCGUGUUCACAUGGUCUGCAGCUUUAGGAUACCAAGUCUUAUUCCAAAUGUCCUACAAAACAAAACCCAACUAAGAUUGCGACAUUUAGGAGCAGAACAUGAACCCAGUAUCACAUCCAUGUUUCUCCGCAAAUUUAAAAAAAAAAAUGCAAGGAUUAGAGUAAAUGAGAGUUCUAUUGAAAGCAAAGUCAAUAAAUCAAAAUCUAAAAAUAACAAAAAAGGGAAUUAGAAUUACAGGGCCAUUAAGCUCGGACUCCUCGAACAUCCAACGUUGGUCGAGGGGUACACGAGCAAGGUCCUUUUCUUCCUUCUUCUGAGACCGAACCACAAAAUUGUGGCAGCUAGAAACAGGAAACGCCGUCCGUAUACAUGAUUUUGAUUUUAGCAAAGAGAACCCCACAAUAAACGGACUGCUAGUAAUGGAGGACUUGCUUGCAGAAGAAAAAUAAGGUUGAGUUGUACUGGCAGUAGUCGAAGAAGAUAAAGAAGAAGAGGGCGUCAUAGAAGAUGGUACACACAGAAUUGACAUUCUCUCCUUACUUCAGCUUCUCUAUUCCCCAAUCGUUCUGGUUCUGUUCCGCCUAGUGCCUUCAAUUACA
rnacentral:misc_RNA from 1 species